rnacentral:rRNA from 1 species
CCUACGGGAGGCAGCAGUGGGGAAUAUUGGACAAUGGGGGCAACCCUGAUCCAGCCAUGCCGCGUGUGUGAAGAAGGCCCUCGGGUUGUAAAGCACUUUCAGUGAGGAAGAACGCCUGGUGGUUAAUACCCAUCAGGAAAGACAUCACUCACAGAAGAAGCACCGGCUAACUCCGUGCCAGCAGCCGCGGUAAUACGGAGGGUGCGAGCGUUAAUCGGAAUUACUGGGCGUAAAGCGCGCGUAGGUGGCUUGAUAAGCCGGUUGUGAAAGCCCCGGGCUCAACCUGGGAACGGCAUCCGGAACUGUCAAGCUAGAGUGCAGGAGAGGAAGGUAGAAUUCCCGGUGUAGCGGUGAAAUGCGUAGAGAUCGGGAGGGAUACCAGUGGCGAAGGCGGCCUUCUGGACUGACACUGACACUGAGGUGCGAAAGCGUGGGUAGCAAACAGGAUUAGAUACCCUAGUAGUC